GUAAGGAUGCCUAUUAUGAGACAGGCGCUUAAUAUGAGAUAGCAAGGUAUAAGUCAAACUAUUCACGUCAGUCAUUUGGGCGCUAGUGUCGCGCGAUCAGCACAGCAACACCACUAAACGUCUGCCAGUGCGUGCCGGCCACCGGCGAUCGAAAUACGUGUGCGUGUAGUUUUUACAUUUUCGUAAAACAAAAUAUUUUUCGUCAAAUGUUUACAAGAUGCCUCCCAUCAAAAGGAAGACAGGGGUCGAUAAUGCCAUGAUGCAAGGUGUGAAUGCAGUUCGAAGAAACGAAAUGGGUUACUUAAGAGCUGCAAAACAAUUUAGUGUUCCUAAGGGUACCCUUGAGCGCUAUGUAAAAAAAGAUGUCCGUGCAGAAGAUCUUGUCCAGGAUAGCAGUGGGGAUGAGUAUGAUGCUGAAUGUCCCUACUGCAGCGGAAACUUUUCACAAAAUACAAGAGGAGAAAAAUGGGCUAAGUGUCAAGGUUGUUUUAAAUGGGCUCAUGAGGAAUGUGGAGAAAUAGCAUAGGAUAAUUUUUUGUGUUCUUUAUGCUUAGAUAUGUAAGACAUGAUAAGAUUUACAACAUUUUAGAAGAUUUUGAUUUUUGUUAUUACUUUUAUAACUUUUCUUUUGAUAUUUGUAUUAAAAGUGAUUAUGAUUAGUGAGUAAAGCUCGAAUUGUUUGUUUGUAUUUGUUUGUUUUAAAGACUGAUACUUGUCUAUAGUUUCAUGAUUAAAGUACCAAAAUAUUAAGACUCAUGUUUGUGUAUAAUAUUUAAUUAAUAAGUAACAAUAAAAAUGUGAUUAUUAAAUUAA